UAUCCACAGUUAACUAAUUAUCACUCACAUAUGGAAGUUUUAUAUUUUUUAAUUGAUAAAAGAUCAAACUUGUUUUUCAGUUGUAUUUGUUAUUUGUUAUAACAGUAAGACAAAACAGGCAAUAGAAGACUGAAGCUCAACCAGUGGUUAUGUCUAAAUUGUAACAAUAUUUUUUUAUCUUGUGUCUUCUUUCUCAUUAUUCCUUUCAUGUUAUAUAUCUAUAUGUCCAAUCAAUGUAUCAAUUGCCAAUAUGUACAGUCACAAGAAGACCAGUGCUUCAGAAAACAUUAUAUGUUUGUAAUAAUAAAAUAUUACAAACACAAAAUUUUAAUUUUUGACAUGAUUACUGACUUUAACAUUCAACAAAAAGCUGUCAGUUCUACUAUCACUUUACUACUUAUACAACGGCGGCUUCUAUAACUCAUUGCUAGAUAGUAUGAUGUAUUGUUUGAUCAUUUACUUGAUUUUAUUUUUUUUGCAGUCGGUAAGUGAAUAGUUUCAAACAGAUAAGUAUAGUUUACAAUUAUCUCGCAAUUUAUAACAUGACGAUAGUCUUUAAACUUGAAUAAUGUUAUUAAUUAUGCAGGUUGCAAUAAGCUGAAUGAUCUAAUUGCGUAACGAUAUUCCUAGUUCUCAAAAUAUCGUAUAUGUUUAGUAUGUCCGUACUUCUGAAAAAAGGUGACAAUAUGUCUAAAUUGUAACAAUAUUUUUUUUAUCUUGUGUCUUCUUUCUCAAUAUUCCUUUCAUGUUAUAUAUCUAUAUGUCUAAGCAACGUAUUAUAUACAGAUAUGUACAUAUUAUGCUGUAAACCAGAGUUCCUGGUUAUUUGAUUAAUCGUCGCAAUUGAAAGUUGUUUCCGAUUAAUAAUAAAUGUCUGACGUCUGUUUGAAAAACAUAGUUCUACAAUUACAAAAACAAAAAACAGAAACAUGUGUUGUCCUUUGUGUUAUGUAAUAUAUAUAUAUAUAUCAAACCAUUACUAUUUCAAAUAUAUGCAUUAUUAAACUUUAGUCAGUAACUGUCAAGUACCAAAUCGAAAACUAAAACUAAAAACUUUGAACAUCUGUUGUCAUAGGAAUCAUCUGACAAAUGGAAGUCUUCUUAUAAAAGUGGAAAAAGGUGACAGUUACAAUGUUUGAAAAGUGUUAUCAAGAUGCAUAAAUAACACUGUUACUUUUCUUAUAAAAAAAUCAAAUAAACUUGAAUAUUUUAAUUUGAUAAAUUAUAUGGUCAGUCAUUAAACUAUUAGCCUAUAGGAUAAACAUUACAACAUGUGGUAGAAUUGCCAGUGAGACAGCUACCCAAUAUACAGUAAAUUAUGUUGAUAGUAGUUACAAUAAGUCACAUUAAGGGUUUUUCCAAUAGUGAGAAAUACAAAUCCCGCAUAUUGAGUAAGCUAAAAAAAUCCUACAAUGACAAUACGUGAACCAUUUCAAACUAUAGAACUUACACUGUUAGGUCCGAUAGGUAAAUAAAUUUUGACAAAAGUCCGACGAUGAUAUAAUAUGUUCUCAUUGUAGCUGUACCUGUGGAGAAAGGAUGAAAUACAUAAGACAACAGUGACAGCCAGUAAUAAACAUUAGCGAAACACAGAAAUGAUAGAAAACACUUCCUUCCGAUGCAAAAACAAUAUUAAAUAAUCUGAAUAUAAUGUGUCCUUGUUUAUUUGCAUGCACGUUUUAUGUUUAAAGUAUAUAUGAUUCUGAUACAUCAAAAUAGAAACUUUCCAAUGUUUUUCCUAAAAUCUGUUUUAACCACACAAUAAGUAUAUUGUACGUGUUGCAUCACACGAAUCAUUCAUACUUUGAUAUUUUCUUAUGUCAGAUAAUUAUUAAAUGCUCUCUCGUGACUGAGUAUUAUAUCAAAUUCAAAAUAAUUAGCUACACUUCUUACCAAUCAUGUGUUUUAUAACUACAAUUUAUAGCCUAGUGUCCUCUACUUAUUCAAAUUGAUUUCACUUUUCUAUUAUCCUACAAAUAAUGUUAUUAUAUAACUUAGCGUAUUGAAAAGCAUUAUAAACUGUCGGAAUAGUCUUUACUUUUAUAAGUUUUGACUUGGAUGGAGAGUUGUCUCAUUGGCACUCAUACCACACCUUAUAUCUAUUUAAGUAAUUGAUUCGAAACAAAUCAAAACUUUAGACUUUUUUCUAGUACUUCAAGUUAUUAUUCAAAUUGUUCACAAUAUGUCUAAAACCCUACAAUGUAUUUCUUAAUGUGAAUUCAAUUAUCAGACAUAUAUUUGAUUUAUACGUUGUUUCUGCAAUUAAACUAGUAAACAUGUAGAUUGAAACUGUAUUAUAUUCAACGCGCGAGACUACUAUACAUAUUUCUGUAAUAUUUAUAUGAAUGUUAUUGUUCUUGUUUUAUAACACGUUAUGAUUAUAUUUAAAUGUGUAGUCUUUCGAAAUCAUGACAUAAAUUUGCAACUGGUUUGACUAGAAAAUGUUUUACCUGUUUCGCUCACAUCGUCGUGCCUUUGAUAAAAAACUUUCGUUAAAUUUUUCAGGGCUUCGUUGAAAGGAAAUUAUUUCAUAUUUGGUGUGCAGCUUGAUAAUGUUGAGUUGUGGCGACUUUCUGUUUGCCAAAAGUUCAAAAUAUUACAACUCUGAUUGAACAAGGAAAAUAUUCGUAAAAGUUUACUUGGCUUGAUUGAAAGGAAUGAUUAGUUAUGUUUCAGUAUACAUGUUGUUAUGAUAUUGUUAUUAUCAUGUUUAUUUAUCUUGGCUUUAUGUGUUUUGUGUGGUCUUAUAAUAUGUAUAGUAUGCUUACAUCAUAUUUAUAGUUGUUUACAAAAUAAUGUUAUAAUUGUGCAGUUUAGAAAUCACUGGAACAAUCAUAGAUACUGAUGGAAUAAUUAGAACUUUCUAUUUGACAGACAUAAUAAUUCUGAAAUGAUCAUAAUAUACGAUGUGUAAUUCUAGGAGUUUCCGUUCUACAGUGAUCUAGAAGUUUCCGUGACAACUACAUAUACAGACACCGAAAUUAUACUUUUUUAGACAUUACCUUUUACUUGGAUUCAUAGAAGUUCUCUUACGUUGUUGUAUUGACACUUAAUUUACGUUAACUACAUCAUACUAGAUUGGACAUAUUCCGUACAGUUAAGAGAAGAAUUCCGGAUAAAGAAAAGACAAAGGAUCGGACAUAUAAUUUAACAGUUAAGUUAACAUUUCAAUUUGUAAAAUAUUUCUUGUAAACUUGUGUAUAUUAAAUCUUGUUAAAUUUUA